GACGAACGCUGGCGGCGUGCCUAAUACAUGCAAGUAGAACGCUGACUACUUUAGCUUGCUAGAGUAGAAGGAGUUGCGAACGGGUGAGUAACGCGUAGGUAACCUGCCUACUAGCGGGGGAUAACUAUUGGAAACGAUAGCUAAUACCGCAUAACAGUGUUUAACACAUGUUAGAUGCUUGAAAGAUGCAAUUGCAUCACUAGUAGAUGGACCUGCGUUGUAUUAGCUAGUUGGUGGGGUAACGGCCCACCAAGGCGACGAUACAUAGCCGACCUGAGAGGGUGAUCGGCCACAUUGGAACUGAGACACGGUCCAA
rnacentral:rRNA from 1 species